AUGUCGGGGGGCGGCAGGCCGCCGGCUGCGCAGAAAAUCCUGCAGUCGCUGCGCCCGCCCCCGGUGUUCUCCACGCCGUCGCGGCCUCCCUUCGCCUCACCCGAUGACUACCACCGCUUUCAUGCGCCGACUACCCCUUCUGCCACCGGCUCCGGCGGCAUCGGCGCCGGUGGUGUUGGCGGCGAUAUUGAUGAGGGGCUUGUUAUACGGACGCAGCUAAAAAGAAAAGCCACACGUGAAGAAAAUAAUGCGGCUGAGUCGAGUGACUGUAUGAUUGUCACCACUGGAGUUACUGGCAAUCCGCUACUCACCCCAGUGUCCGGAAAAGCUGUUAAGAAUUCUAAAUCAAAGACUAAGAACAAUAAAGCUGGGCCUCAGACACCUACGCCAAAUGUUGGCUCACCACUCAAUCCAUCAACUCCUGCUGGUACUUGCCGCUAUGACAGUUCGUUAGGACUUCUGACAAAGAAGUUCAUCAAUUUGCUGAAGCAAGCUGAGGAUGGCAUUCUAGAUUUGAAUAAUGCUGCAGAAACACUAGAGGUUCAAAAGCGACGCAUAUAUGACAUCACAAAUGUCCUCGAAGGAAUUGGUCUUAUAGAAAAGACACUUAAAAACAGAAUUCGUUGGAAGGGCUUGGAUGAUUCAGGAGUGGAAUUAGAUGAUGGCCUUUCAGGUUUGCAGACAGAAGUUGAAAAUCUUAAUUUGCAGGAGCAAGCCUUAGAUGAGCGUAUAAGUGAUAUGCGCGAAAAGCUAAGGGGGUUAACGGAAGAUGAGAACAGUCAAAGAUGGCUCUAUGUGACGGAAGAUGAUAUCAAGGGAUUACCCUGCUUUCAGAAUGAAACUCUAAUUGCAAUAAAAGCUCCUCAUGGUACUACACUUGAAGUACCAGAUCCUGACGAGGCUGGUGAUUAUCUCCAGAGGAGAUACAGAAUCGUAUUAAGAAGUACCCUGGGUCCAAUAGAUGUUUACUUAGUUAGUCAAUUUGACGAUGGAUUUGAGAAUUUGGGUGGUGCUGCAACACCUCCAAGGCAUACAAAUGUCCCAAAAUCUGGACCUUGUGAAGACUUACAUGCAACAAACGCUACACAAAGCAGCAAAUCAAUCAAUGUGGAAUAUAAUAUUCAGCACAGGCAGAAUACUCCACAAGAUCCUAGUUCUUCAAAUGAUUAUGGAGGGAUGACAAGGAUAAUCCCGUCAGAUGUUAAUACUGAUGCUGAUUACUGGCUCCUAACAGAGGGUGACGUUAGUAUUACUGACAUGUGGGAAACAGCACCAGAAGUGCAGUGGGACACCGCUGUGUUUUUACCCGAAGAUGUUAGCACCCCACAUGCACAUCAUAGACCGCGGAUGCAGGUUCCAAGCAUGGAUCAACCAUAA
rnacentral:rRNA from 1 species